AUACUUACCUGGCAGGAGAGAUACCAUGAUCACAAAGGUGGUCUUCCCAGGAUGAGGCUUAUCCAUUGCACUUUGGAUGUGCUGACCCCUGCGAUUUCCCCAAAUGCAGGAAACUUGACUGCAUAAUUUGUGAUAGUGGGAGACUGCGUUCGUGCUCUCCCCUG